UGAAGCUCUCGAGUUUGCUUUCUCCUCAAAAUGAGGCCGGUUUGGGGGCGGCCUUGCCCUGGCCCGGGCCGGCCGCCCAGCCUCGCGGGCCGGUGGGGCAGACGUGGCACCCGAACGCUCCAUGUGCGGUCCCGCUGCUCCCUGAGGGAAGCGUGGGGGCUUGAGGGGCAGCUGCGCCCCCGGCGCUGUAACGGGAGAUGAGGACAUUUGUGUGAAGAGAGCAGCAGAAAGAAGUGUUUUGUGUCCCCAGAGCAGCACGUGCCAACAAUAUAGACUGUGAGCUGGAACCUCAGGUGCAGCUGGGCCCUGGGCUGCGCAGCCAAGGAGAGACAAAAGGAAUUAGUUUGCUCCCCGAUGCAGGAGCUGCUUGGGAAUUAUUCUGACCCUUGUUAUAAAUCAGUGUUUUGGUCCUGUUCACUUCAAGGACCACUUUCUCCAUCAGUGAAAUGCAGCCAGCAUUGGGGUGGAACAUGGUCCAGAAUUAACUACCCAGAAAUGGAAGGCAAAAAGGAAGAAGAAAAUUGCAUCCUGCUGAAACCUCUGGAGGAAUUUAGGUUGGCAGAACGUUGUUACUCGGACUGGAACGUGGCCAGGACACCAGGAUUAAUGCUAGCACAAAAUGCCACUUGAUUGCAAGUGUUCAGAUAACCUUGGAUGAAAGUCUUAUCUGAAAAGAAGCUCUUCUAACAGAAUAAGGCUCCCUCAUAUUGGCCAGGACUUUGACUCAGGGUUGACUCAGAGAAAUUUUGCUGUUUGCUUCAGCAGCUUUCGAAUGGGGCAGCUCUGGAAUGGUAGCAGAUCUCCCCUUCACAGCCUGCAGCACAGCAGAUAAUUUCCCAGGGAGGAUUCCAGGCCAUAGACUGAUGACUCUUUUUAGAGAUGUUUCCUGAUAUCUCCUGCAAACAUUAUAAAUAGAAGCCUGAAGGAUUGCUUGUUUGGGAAAGGUCCUAAUUAUUAGAAGGCAGGAAAAAUGUUCAGUCCCAAGAAGUAACUUGGCCAAGCUGAGCUUCUGUGGCCACAUAAAUGUGGAAUAGCUAUUUAAGUAAUGGAGUUACUCCUGAGCAAACAACACCAGCACUUCCCUCAUUUAUGUUUUAUUCUCCUCUGUGAUUGUUUCUACUGCCAGUCCUGUAAUGCAUGUUACGGGUUGGGCUGGCAGAUGCAAGUGGUUCCCAGUGAAAUCUUUGAUGAUUAAGAACAGUGUUAAUAAAAAUUUCUUCUCUUGCUCUCA